rnacentral:lncRNA from 1 species
CCCCGAAGGUCGGGGUCCCAAGACCCCCCAGCGGAAAAAUGGCCAAGAAACGGGUGGGCUAUAGCCUUGGUGGGGGGCGUGGGCGAAGUUCGUCCGCGGGACUCGGAAUGGCCCCAGACUUGGCGGGCGGCCUCCGUGUGCCAAAAAUAGGCCACGGGCACAGCCGCGCCCAAAAAUCAGCCCCCGAAGGUCGGGGUCACAAGACCCCCCAGCGGAAAAAAGGCUAAGAAACGCGUGGGCUAUAGCCUUGGUGGGGGGCGUGGGCGAAGUUCGUCCGCGGGACUCGGAAUGGCACCAUACUUGGCGGGCGGCCUCCGUGUGCCAAAAAUAGGCCACGGGCACAGCCGCGCCCAAAAAUCAGCCCCCGAAGGUCGGGGUCCCAAGACCCCCCAGCGGAAAAAUGGCCAAAAAACGGGUGGGCUAUAGCCUUGGUGGGGGGCGUGGGCGAAGUUCGUCCGCGUGACUCGGAAUGGCCCCAGACUUGGCGGGCGGCCUCCGUGUGCCAAAAAUAGGCCACGGGCACAGCCGCGCCCAAAAAUCAGCCCCCGAAGGUCGGGGUCCCAAGACCCCCCAGCGGAAAAAUGGCCAAGAAACGCGUGGGCUAUAGCCUUGGUGGGGGGCGUGGGCGAAGUUCGUCCGCGGGACUCGGAAUGGCCCCAGACUUGGCGGGCGGCCUCCGUGUGCCAAAAAUAGGCCACGGGCACAGCCGCGCCCAAAAAUCAGCCCCCGAAGGUCGGGGUCACAAGACCCCCCAGCGGAAAAAAGGCCAAGAAACGCGUGGGCUAUAGCCUUGGUGGGGGGCGUGGGUGAAGUUCGUCCGCGGGACUCGGAAUGGCACCAUACUUGGCGGGCGGCCUCCGUGUGCCAAAAAUAGGCCACGGGCACAGCCGCGCCCAAAAAUCAGCCCCCGAAGGUCGGGGUCCCAAGCCCCCCCAGCGGAAAAAUGGCCAAGAAACGCGUGGGCUAUAGCCUUGGUGGGGGGCGUGGGCGAAGUUCGUCCGCGGGACUCGGAAUGGCCCCAGACUUGGCGGGCGGCCUCCGUGUGCCAAAAAUAGGCCACGGGCACAGCCGGGCCCAAAAAUCAGCCCCCGAAGGUCGGGGUCACAAGGACCCCCCAGCGGAAAAAAGGCCAAGAAACGGGUGGGCUAUAGCCUUGGUGGGGGGCGUGGGCGAAGUUCGUCCGCGGGACUCGGAAUGGCACCAUACUUGGCGGGCGGCCUCCGUGUGCCAAAAAUAGGCCACGGGCACAGCCGCGCCCAAAAAUCAGCCCCCGAAGUUCGGGGUCCCAAGACCCCCCAGCGGAAAAAUGGCCAAAAAACGGGUGGGCUAUAGCCUUGGUGGGGGGCGUGGGCGAAGUUCGUCCGCGGGACUCGAAAUGGCCCCAGACUUGGCGGGCGGCCUCCGUGUGCCAAAAAUAGGCCACGGGCACAGCCGCGCCCAAAAAUCAGCCCCCGAAGGUCGGGGUCCCAAGACCCCCCAGCGGAAAAAUGGCCAAGAAACGCGUGGGCUAUAGCCUUGGUGGGGGGCGUGGGCGAAGUUCGUCCGCGGGACUCGGAAUAGCCCCAGACUUGGCGGGCGGCCUCCGUGUGCCAAAAAUUGGCCACGGGCACAGCCGCGCCCAAAAAUCAGCCCCCGAAGGUCGGGGUCCCAAGACCCCCCAGCGGAAAAAUGGCCAAGAAACGGGUGGGCUAUAGCCUUGGUGGGGGGCGUGGGCGAAGUUCGUCCGCGGGACUCGGAAUGGCCCCAGACUUGGCGGGCGGCCUCCGUGUGCCAAAAAUAGGCCACGGGCACAGCCGCACCCAAAAAUCAGCCCCCGAAGGUCGGGGUCCCAAGACCCCCCAGCGGAAAAAUGGCCAAGAAACGCAUGGGCUAUAGCCUUGGUGGGGGGCGUGGGCGAAGUUCGUCCGCGGGACUCGGAAUGGCCCCAGACUUGGCGGGCGGCCUCCGUGUGCCAAAAAUAGGCCACGGGCACAGCCGCGCCCAAAAAUCAGCCCCCGAAGGUCGGGGUCCCAAGACCCCCCAGCGGAAAAAUGGCCAAGAAACGCGUGGGCUAUAGCCUUGGUGGGGGGCGUGGGCGAAGUUCGUCCGCGGGACUCGGAAUGGCCCCAGACUUGGCGGGCGGCCUCCGUGUGCCAAAAAUAGGCCACGGGCACAGCCGCGCCCAAAAAUCAGCCCCCGAAGGUCGGGGUCCCAAGACCCCCCUGCGGAAAAAUGGCCAAGAAACGCGUGGGCUAUAGCCUUGGUGGGGGGCGUGGGCGAAGUUCGUCCGCGGGACUCGGAAUGGCCCCAGACUUGGCGGGCGGCCUCCGUGUGCCAAAAAUAGGCCACGGGCACAGCCGCGCCCAAAAAUCAGCCCCCGAAGGUCGGGGUCCCAAGACCCCCCAGCGGAAAAAUGGCCAAGAAACGCGUGGGCUAUAGCCUUGGUGGGGGGCGUGGGCGAAGUUCGUCCGCGGGACUCGGAAUGGCCCCAGACUUGGCGGGCGGCCUCCGUGUGCCAAAAAUAGGCCACGGGCACAGCCGCGCCCAAAAAUCAGCCCCCGAAGGUCGGGGUCCCAAGACCCCCCAGCGGAAAAAUGGGCCAAGAAACGGGUGGGCUAUAGCCUUUGGUAGGGGGCGUGGGCGAAGUUCGUCCGCGGGGACUCGGGAAAUGGCCCCCAGACUUGGCGGGCGGCCUCCGUGUGCCCAAAAAAUAGGCCACGGGGCACAGCCGGCGCCCCAAAAAUCAGCCCCCCGAAGGUCGGGGGUCCCCAAGACCCCCCCAGCGGAAAAAACGGCCAAAGAAAACGCGGUGGGCUAUAGCCCUUGGGUGGGGGGGCGUGGGCGAAAGUUUCGUUUGCGGGGACUCGGAAUGGCCCCAGACUUGGCAGGCGGCCCUCCGUGUGCCAAAAAUAGGCCACGGGCACAGCCGCGCCCAAAAAUCAGCCCCCGAAGGUCGGGGUCCCAAGACCCCCCAGCGGAAAAAUGGCCAAGAAACGGGUGGGCUAUAGCCUUGGUGGGGGGCGUGGGCGAAGUUCGUCCGCGGGACUCGGAAUGGCCCCAGACUUGGCGGGCGGCCUCCGUGUGCCAAAAAUAGGCCACGGGCACAGCCGCGCCCAAAAAUCAGCCCCCGAAGGUCGGGGUCCCAAGACCCCCCAGCGGAAAAAUGGCCAAGAAACGGGUGGGCUAUAGCCUUGGUGGGGGGCGUGGGCGAAGUUCGUCCGUGGGACUCGGAAUGGCACCAUACUUGGCGGGCGGCCUCCGUGUGCCAAAAAUAGGCCACGGGCACAGCCGCGCCCAAAAAUCAGCCCCCGAAGGUCGGGGUCCCAAGACCCCCCAGCGGAAAAAUGGCCAAAAAACGGGUGGGCUAUAGCCUUGGUGGGGGGCGUGGGCGAAGUUCGUCCGCGUGACUCGGAAUGGCCCCAGACUUGGCGGGCGGCCUCCGUGUGCCAAAAAUAGGCCACGGGCACAGCCGCGCCCAAAAAUCAGCCCCCGAAGGUCGGGGUCACAAGACCCCCCAGCGGAAAAAAGGCCAAGAAACGCGUGGGCUAUAGCCUUGGUGGGGGGCGUGGGCGAAGUUCGUCCGCGGGACUCGGAAUGGCCCCAGACUUGGCGGGCGGCCUCCGUGUGCCAAAAAUAGGCCACGGGCACAGCCGCGCCCAAAAAUCAGCCCCCGAAGGUCGGGGUCCCAAGACCCCCCAGCGGAAAAAUGGCCAAGAAACGGGUGGGCUAUAGCCUUGGUGAGGGGCGUGGGCGAUGUUCGUCCGCGGGACUCGGAAUGGCCCCAGACUUGGCGGGCGGCCUCCGUGUGCCAAAAAUAGGCCACGGGCACAGCCGCGCCCAAAAAUCAGCCCCGAAGGUCGGGGUCCCAAGACCCCCCAGCGGAAAAAUGGCCAAAAAACGGGUGGGCUAUAGCCUUGGUGGGGGGCGUGGGCGAAGUUCGUCCGCGGGACUCGGAAUGGCCCCAG